ACUUGGAUGAGCAAAUAAAGUGGUUUCUUGAGAUGGAAACUACUCCAGGUGUAGAUGCUGUGAA
rnacentral:pre_miRNA from 1 species